CCUACGGGAGGCAGCAGUGAGGAAUAUUGGUCAAUGGACGAGAGUCUGAACCAGCCAAGUAGCGUGAAGGAUGACUGCCCUAUGGGUUGUAAACUUCUUUUAUAUGGGAAUAAAAUGUUCCAAGUGUGGGAUUUUGUAUGUACCAUAUGAAUAAGGAUCGGCUAACUCCGUGCCAGCAGCCGCGGUAAUACGGCGGAUCCGAGCGUUAUCCGGAUUUAUUGGGUUUAAAGGGAGCGUAGGUGGAUUGUUAAGUCAGUUGUGAAAGUUUGCGGCUCAACCGUAAAAUUGCAGUUGAGACUGGCAGUCGUGAGUACAGUAGAGGUGGGCGGAAUUCGUGGUGUAGCGGUGAAAUGCUUAGAUAUCACGAAGAACUCCGAUUGCGAAGGCAGCUCACUGGACUGCAACUGACACUGAGGCUCGAAAGUGUGGGUAUCAAACAGGAUUAGAUACCCUUGUAGUC
rnacentral:rRNA from 1 species